GGCUACGUACUUUAGUGGUAGAAUAUUGGUGCGUAAAGCCAAAGGUCCCGAGUUCGAUUCCCGGCGUGGCUG
rnacentral:tRNA from 1 species